ACUCCUGCGGGAGGCAGCAGUGGGGAAUUUUGGACAAUGGGCGAAAGCCUGAUCCAGCCAUGCCUCGUGCAGGAUGAAGGCCUUCGGGUUGUAAACUGCUUUUGUACGGAACGAAACGGCCUUUUCUAAUAAAGAGGGCUAAUGACGGUACCGUAAGAAUAAGCACCGGCUAACUACGUUCCAGCAGCCGCGGUAAUACGUAGGGUGCAAGCGUUAAUCGGAAUUACUGGGCGUAAAGCGUGCGCAGGCGGUUAUGUAAGACAGUUGUGAAAUCCCCGGGCUCAACCUGGGAACUGCAUCUGUGACUGCAUAGCUAGAGUACGGUAGAGGGGGAUGGAAUUCCGCGUGUAGCAGUGAAAUGCGUAGAUAUGCGGAGGAACACCGAUGGCGAAGGCAAUCCCCUGGACCUGUACUGACGCUCAUGCACGAAAGCGUGGGGAGCAAACAGGAUUAGAUACCCCAGUAGUCCCAUG
rnacentral:rRNA from 1 species